UGGGGAAUAUUGGACAAUGGGGGCAACCCUGAUCCAGCAAUGCCGCGUGAGUGAUGAAGGCCUUAGGGUUGUAAAGCUCUUUUACCGGGGACGAUGAUGACGGUACCCGGAGAAUAAGCCCCGGCUAACUUCGUGCCAGCAGCCGCGGUAAUACGAAGGGGGCGAGCGUUGUUCGGAAUUACUGGGCGUAAAGGGCGCGUAGGCGGCGAACCAAGUCAGAUGUGAAAGUCCUGGGCUUAACCUGGGGACUGCAUUUGAUACUGGUUUGCUUGAAUUCGGGAGAGGAUAGCGGAAUUCCCAGUGUAGAGGUGAAAUUCGUAGAUAUUGGGAAGAACACCGGUGGCGAAGGCGGCUAUCUGGACCGACAUUGACGCUGAGGCGCGAAAGCGUGGGGAGCAAACA
rnacentral:rRNA from 1 species